rnacentral:rRNA from 1 species
AUGCCACCUUCCGUGCACGACACAGAAGGCCUGCCGUUCAUGAAGCAUGGUUGUGUGUUCUGUGCGCACCGCCGGAUGAACGACAUGCUGGGACACGCUAUCCCUUAUUUAUGCCGCUUCAGCUUGGACGAGUCUCCGUCGUGUGGAACCGGACUAGAAAGCUGCGACAAUGAUUCCCGUUGCCCACCGCUAUGGAUCGUGCCAUCCAUGAAGAACACCUGGGACUGGAACCUGGAGGAAGACAUCAGACGCAAAUGCGCUGGCCUUCAUGAUUCCAGGACCUGGAAUCAUACCAGCCGAUGGUACCAUAUAACUGGAAUUAACCCAUGCAAGUCGAAGAAGGAUUGGCCGGUGCUGCCGGCUGGCGUCAAGUUCGAUCCCACAGAUCAGGAGCUGAUCGAGCACCUUGAGGCCAAAGUGAGUGCUGGCAGCGCGAGAUCUGACCCUCUCAUCGAUUUGUUCAUACCAACCAUCGACAGCGAGCACGGCAUAUGCUACACCCAUCCUGAGAAACUUCCAGGUAUCACACUGAGUGGCCUAAGCAAGCAUUUCUUCCAGCGCAAUUCCAGGGCGUUCAAAAGGGGCACGUGGACACGUCGCAAGAUAAAGUCGGAGUGCGGCAUGCACGCGAUGUGGCACAACACCGGCAAUACCUUGCCGGCGAUGGUCAACGGCCGGCAGAUGGGCAGCAAAAAGGUUCUGGUGCUGCACACCAACAAGAACUUCGACCAGCAGAGGACCAACUGGGUGAUGCACCAGUACCACCUCGGGGACCUGGAGCAAGAGAAGGAGCGGGAGCUGGUCCUCUGCAAGAUUUUCUACCAGACGAACACUAGGGCCAGGAGUAAAAAGAUUAUAAGUUAG